GGCUUCGUGAGGCGGAAGUGACGCAGUGUUGUCGUCUCGUAGGCUUGAAAGACACUGGCCUUAGGAUGACAUGCGGCAGGAAGGAAGGACGGAUCUGGGGUUUUUCAAGACUCACUGAGAUGCACAAGGAACCAACCCUCAAGUAGCCAACUCGUUCCUGUUUGCAUGUGUCGACUGAAAAGAAUCAAAAUAAACAAAAUAUAACUAUUUCUAAGAGGUUACAACUUGCAGGCAGGAAGCAGGCCUCUACCUGAGGCCAUAAAGCAUACUUUGAAGGAGAAAAGGUAGGUAUUUAUGCUAGGUGGAGAGGUAGGAUAUACGUAUUCUGUAGCAUACAGGAGAAGCCUAUGAAAAUUCAUGGAGGAAACUCGUUAGAGACACGCACUGGGCUUACAUAUGAAGAAUAUCCAAAAGCGGAUGACCUGUGUUCACUCUGGGGUGAAGAUUUAACAUUUAAAUGUAUUAUAAUUAGGCUGUAAAUGCAAAAAGGUGAAACAUAGGGCACAAGUUCACGAUCUGUGCAAUCUCCAGAGACCAGUCUGAUCUAGCCUGCAGCUGGCAGUCAUCUGUCAAGAAGGGGCUCUUUGUAGCCCAGAGUAGCUGUCAGGUUGGAACCAUAAAACCAAAAGGAGGGCAUCGGCGGUUAGGUGAAGAAAAGAAGUCUUUUGGCCUUUUUUCCUCUUCAAGUCAGCUUUUGAUAAGAUCUAGUAAUAAUAAGGGGAUGGGUGUGGCUGCAGGUGGGACAUGUCGGUUCUCUGUCCUGUCACAGCUAAGAACUAAGAACUUUAGAGUCUUUCAGCCAUAGAGGGUCCUGUCAUCCAUUGAAGGGAUCAGUCCAUUGGGAUUUUGCCAGUUUUAGCAUUGAUGCUGUGUCCUGGGAAACCCCUGAAUACUUAUCAUAGCAGAAGUUCAGCCACUGUAGCCCUACCUCAGGACCGCUUUUAUGGGAAAGAAUAAUUCCUUUAACUGCUUGAGCCAUUUGAGUUGUGGCUGCUUUUGGUACUUGUAAUAAAUUGAAAGCAUCUUGAAUGUUCUGGGACAGUAAAAGAAUGUGCCUUUGUUUCUGACAGCAAUUAUAAAAUCAAUUAUAUGUUUAUAUUCUAAAAAAUGUUUUGAGUAAUGCUGACAUCAUUGGAAAAGUGCAUCACUUAGAAAAUGUAUCUGUGUGUCAAUUUUGUUUGUUCAAAAUCAGUUUCAUUAAUUUGUGGGAAGAUACACCUUGUACAUUUUACCUAAUUAAAAAAAAUAUUGCCAGUUGAGUAUACUUGUGAUAUAUUCAAAGAUAAAUAAACUUUUUCAAUUUUAGAUAUU
rnacentral:lncRNA from 10 species